UUUAUUCAAAAAAAUAUAAAAUAAAUCCAAGAACGACACAGAAAUGGUUAGACAUUCGCUCCUUACAUUUAAAAUGGAGGAGGAACUACGAAGGAAUAUUAUUUAAGGUAUUUUAUUAAUAAUUUAUAAUGUUUAGGAAUGCAUCAACCUUUUUCAUUUAUGUUCAUUUUAAUUUUUUUCAAAUCACCCCCCUUCCCUGCUCAAUAGUCAACUCUUUCUGCAAAGUCUGAUCUGAAUUUUCCAUUGAAGUUUUCAUUUGUAAAGCAACUGGAACAAAGAUUACCUUACCUAAAUUUGCAGAAAUCUGAAGAAUUCUUAUUCUUCUCCUUCUCCUUCUUCAUCAUGCCUUCGGACUUGAAUUCAGAGGAGCAAAGACAUGGAAGAGCUUCACAACUUGAAUGGUCUAAAAGCCUUUACGAGUUAACGAACUAUGCGGUCAAGAGUGUGCUUCAUUUGAAGAAAAUGGUUGAUCCAGAUGAGACAUUGAAGUACUGGGCUUAUUUUGCAGUGUGUGUGACUUCAAUCUCAUUUGAUUUUUUGGUUUUCUACAUUCCUGUGAUCGAUGACGAUGGAAAGUGCCUUGAACUGGAUACACAAUUGGGAGCUAAGGCUAUUCUCUUGCGUUCGUUCUUCGAUGUUUUUCUCACGGUCAUUUUUUUUCUGGAACGGUUUUCUGAUUCCUAUGAUCCUACUCCUGCGAGAUAUGGACGAGAAAAGCCAUCUCAUAUUACAUCGAAUUUUUUCGGGUAUCUCUCCUUAUUUGACCUUCUACUUGUCCUUCCCCUCCCUCAGCUGCUGAUAUGGAAUAUCACUUCAAAUAUGAUGAGGUUGAAAUUUUGGGAUGCAAUGAAGUUGCUGAAAUUUUGUGUGUUUUUACAAGAUGUUCCAAGGGUUAUUAGAAUCUAUCCAUUGUUUACGAAAGCUAUCAGGACUUCAGAAAAUCAUGCAGAAGCGACAUGGGUCAAAGCUGCAUUUACUUUUCUUCUUUACAUGCUUGCUGCUUAUGCAUUUGGAGCCAUAUGGUAUUUAACGGCCAUAGAAAAAGAAACUGAAUGCUGGGAGAAAGCCUACACAAAUCAAACUGGAUGUAGCCAGCUGGGUUCUUUGUACUGUGGUAGCAGUUCAAGAAACUACACAUUUCUAGACGGAUUUUGCCCAACAAAGACACGAAAUACAGCCGUCUAUGACUUUGGAAUGUUCCAUGAUGCUCUCCAGUCUGGCAUUGUGGAGGUGACAAAUUUUCCCCAAAAGUUUUUACAUUGUUUCCUAUGGGGCCUGCAAAACCUCAGGUUUGUGCAUAUAUGAUUUAUACAUUUCAUGGUGGUGGGAGCUCCAGUCGAGACGUGGUCAAUUUAUGAGGCCCUCUUCUCUGCCAUACUGACCUGCUUUUCAGUUCUUUUUUUAUCUCUGUUUUUCAUUUAGUUUGUGAGCCCUAUAAGUUUAACAAUUUAUUAUUACUAAAUAACCCAAAAAAAUAUGAAGCCUUGAUCCAAUCAUUUGGCAUUGAAAAUUAUAAAAUUUUGUUUUUAAGCAUGGUAUCAAUAAACAGAAAUUGUAAGUCUGAUUGUUGUUUAUUGAUACCUGUUGUUUAUACUUACCUUGACUAUGUUACCAUUGUAGAUGGCACAACUAAGUUUCGGCUUAUCUGAUCGAAUUCUGUUGUUUUGGUCAGAACAUGCAUACAAGUAGCAAUGUGUGGGAAAACUUAUUUGCGAUUUUGAUUACCAUCAGUGGGUCAAUGUUGCUUCUUU